CCAUCACAAUGUUACCUCACACUCCAGGAUGUUUAAAAGAAGAACACGGUCUCUCAAAUACAAACAUGGUAUGUCACCGAAAAGGGGAAUCCGUUAUUAGAGAUGCCACGGCAGAUAUCCAGUGAGGAUGCAAAUCUAAAAGGACAACAAAGAAAAUGUUAUUUACUUCUCCUAAUCGUCGGCCUUGGGUGUGUCCUCCAAGUCACACUCAAUGUUUCUCUACGCCUUGCCUGGUCCUCACGAUUCCAUUUGGCUUGCAAUAAAACUUGCGCAACCAGUCAGAGCCAUGUGAUGGAGACUCACAAGGAUUGUGACAAAAAAACAGGAGAUCGCUGCAACAGAUUACAAGAAAGAUUCAAUGCUUUACAGAGAGAAAGAGACACACUUCGAAACACCGUCUCAGAAUUGAAGAACUUUGUACGGAGGUGUGUGUAGUGUCUUUGGAACAGCUCACUUCUCAGGUGAUGCGGCUGGAGUUUUUUUUCCCUCUACCUACUCGAAUCUCUGUCUUUCUGAUGACACCAUCCUCAGGAUAUUGAAGAACUGCAUUUUCUUUUUGUUUCAAAAUGUCAUUUACAUGUUUGUUUUGUGCCAAUACUACUAUUGGAAGGGAACAAUAGAGAAAUCAGCUCUAUGUAUGCAUAUAUUCUCAUGUUCACUGUUUAUGUUGGGCAUCAAUAAUGACUGGAUAUAAAAUGGAAACCUUUACAAGGCACAGAUGCAGAUGACCAAAUACUAAUAAAAAAUUACUUGACAACCACCCCAUUAUGCACACCAAGUUAAUGAAGUCAAG